AUUGAACGCUGGCGGCAGGCCUAACACAUGCAAGUCGAACGAGUGGCGGACGGGUGAGUAAUGUCUGGGAAACUGCCCGAUGGAGGGGGAUAACUACUGGAAACGGUAGCUAAUACCGCAUACCAUCGGAUGUGCCCAGAUGGGAUUAGCUAGUAGGUGGGGUAACGGCUAACCUAGGCGAAGAUCCCUAGCUGGUCUGAGAGGAUGACCAGCCACGCUGGAACUGAAGCACGGUCCAGACUCCUACGUGAAGCAGCAGUGGGGAAUAGUGCGCAAUGGGCGCAGGCCUGAUACAGCCAUGCCGCGGGUAGGAAGAAGGCCUUCGGGUUGUAAAGUACUAUCAGCGAGGAAGCGUUACUCGCAGAAGAAGCACCGGCUAACACCGUGCCAGCGGCCGCGGUAAUUC
rnacentral:rRNA from 1 species